rnacentral:rRNA from 1 species
AUUGAACGCUGGCGGCAGGCUUAACACAUGCAAGUCGAGCGAGCGGCGGACGGGUGAGUAAUGUCUGGGAAACUGCCUGAUGGACGGGGAUAACUACUGGAAAAGGUAGCUAAUACCGCAUACCAUCAGAUGAGUCCAGAUGGGAUUAGCUAGUAGGUGGGGUAAAGGCACACCUAGGCGACGAUCCCUAGCUGGUCUGAGAGGAUGACAAGCCACACUGGAACUGCAACACGGUCCAGAAUCCUACGGGAGGAAGCAGUGAGGAAUAUUGCACAAUGGGCACAAUCCUGAUGCAGCGAUGCCGCGUGUGUGAAGAAGGCCUUAGGGUUGUAAAGCACUUUCAGCGAAGAGGCGUUACUCGCAGAAGAAGCAACGGCGAACUCCGUGCCAGCAGCCGCGGUAAUAC